CUAAACUGUCUGAAUUGGGCACCUGCAUGCUUUCUGUGUGGGCGCGUGCUCUGUGAUGUGUGCUUACGUUAACACAGAGUGUGACGUUGGGCUGUGGAGACUGUGCAUGUGCGAUGUGCCGCUUGCUCUCAGUGCGGUGUGCCGUCAGGGCUCUCAUCUGUGUAGCAUGGCAGUUUAACGUAGCCCCGGUCGGAGCGCCAGCUGCUGCUGUCACAACUAUUAAAGAAGCUAUCAUAUGAUUUUCGUAUGUGCAGUCGAGCUGAGUGCUUCCAGAGGCUGGGGGAGGUCCUUUGAGGCACCUUGGGCUUUACUUAAUUAAGGGUCGUUAUUAUUGCUGUGUUUUAUUUGCAGUGAAUUUUGUGGGUAUGAUUCUGAUUAGUGGGGUGCUUUUCCCUUUUGUACAGCUGGUGCUGUCGUGCUAGCCUGCCCUUCAUACAGGAAGCCUCAGUCCUCCUAUGAUUAUUGUUCAUUUUCUCUUGUGACUGCUUUAUUUGACCAACACCUGACUGUGUUGGCUGCUUUUUAAAAAAAU
ensembl:lncRNA